GAGCAGAUAAGGGCCGAGGUCUGGCCUGCGGUGAGACAGUGCGGGACGCUGCCUCCGCCCCUGGCUCCAAGAGCCGCCCCGCACUCUGCGUUCCCACUCCCCGCCCGGGGCCAGGCAUCGUGGGUUGGAGACCUGAGGGAGGAGUGGGGGAUGGGGCUCACUCACAGUCUCUGGACAAGUGACAAGUGACAGCUGGGCUCCAAACCUCAGUUAGCUCAGCUGGAAAAUGGCGGCAGGAGCCCCACUUACCCCACAAGGCUGUUGGGGAUGGAACAAGUGCAGACUUGUGAAGCCCUCUAUGGGUUUGGGCCUUUUUUUUUUUUUUUUUUUUCAAUUUUAUCUUAUUGUGGUAAAAUAUAACAAAACUUUGCUAUUUUAAUCAUUUUUAAGUGUACAAUUCAGUGACAAGAAACAUUUUUAUGCGUUAACAAAAAAUAGGCUACAGUGUAUGUAGAACAGGGCAUCAGGAUUGGAGGAAGACCUGCGAUAUAGAGAGAACACGACCUUGUUUGCUGAAAGCAAAGAGGACUUGAAACACUUACUAAUGAAGAUCAAAGACUACAGCCAUCAGUAUGGAUUACACCGCAACAUAAAGAAAAGAAAAAUCAUCACACUGCACCAGUAAGCAACAGCACGAUAAACAGAAAAGAUUGAAGUUGUUAAGGAUUUUAUUUUACUUGGAUCCACAAUCAACACUCAUGGAAGCAGCAGUCAAGAAAUCAAACGAUGUAUUUGCAUUGGGCAAAUCUCCUGCAAAAGACCUCUUUAAAGUGUUAAAAAGCAAAGAUGUCACUUUGAGGACUAAGGUGCACCUGACACAAAAAGCCAUGGUAUUUUCAGUUGCCUCAUAUGCAUGUGAAAGCUGGACAAUGAAUGAGGAAGACCGAAUGAGAAUUGAUGCCUUUGAAUGAUGGUGUUGGUGAAGAAUACUGAGUAUACCAUGGACUGCCAGAAAAACGAACACAUCUGUCUUGGAAGAAGUACAGCCAGAGUGCUCCUUAGAAGGGACGACGGCGAGACUGUUUCACUUACUUCGGAUAUGCUAUCAGGAGGGCCCAGUCUCUGGAGAAGGACAUCAUGCUUAGUAAAGAAGAGGGUCAGUGAAAAAGAGGAAGACUCUGAACAAGAUGGACUGACACAGUGGCUGCAACAAUGGACUCAAGCAUAAUAAUGAUUGUGAGGAUGGCACCUAACAACAACAUCAACACUAUAUGUAAACUAUAUUAAAAAAAAAAAAAACAACUUUAAUAUGCCGCCAACAUUUUGCCACGUUUAAACGUCUCUGUAACAACUCUUUUAAUGACAACCUAAAAUUCUGUACCAUGUGUGAAAUAUGCAUGCAAACACCUACUGUCCAUUCAUCUCAAAUAUUUAGCGAACAACUGUUGGUUGCCAGGCUUUUGCUUGAACGUUAAGGCUGACUGCAGUAUCUUACUAUUAUAAUAGUAAUGCUAUUAUUAAUCACGUGCUGCUGAAUAUCUGUGGGGCUCAGCGUGUGGAUCUGUAACAAUUGCCUCAGGAAAAAUUCCCAGAAGUGGCAUUUCUGGAUUAAAGAGGAGGCACGCUUUAAAGCUACAUUACCCUACAAUUAGGUUUCUACCAGUUUGCACGGACAGUUGCUUCCUAUGUAUAGCUUCGGUUUGGGCCUUUUUUAAAAGGUGGGUACACUAAGCUCCCCUGACUGCCCCUGCUGUACCCCAGACUCUCCAGUCCUCAUCCCCACUGUCUAGAUGGGAAAAUUGGGGGUCUCUGCAAAGUCUUAGAGCCAGCAAGCAAGAAGCAAAUGGGGAGGGGGUGUGGAACAGUAGUCAGGCCACACUCUUUCUACUGCCCCCAUCCUGGGGACAGAGCUAGGUUUUGCAGAGCCUGAGGUAUAUACAAUUUGGGGGGCCCCUGUUAAGAAAAAGAUAGAAAAUCACGAACACAAAAUUGCUGUGGCCUCUCUCGGGGCCUUGAAAGGGGCCCAAGCAAGUGUCCAGCUUCCUUGCAGCACCCUGCAGACCCCUGGAGGGGGUUACACCCCGCUCCCAGAGACAGUCAGAGACUAGCACAGUUACAGGGCAGGUGGCCCAAGACAACAGGGCAGGGACUGCUGGAAUGAGGUGCCACUGCAGCUGGUCCCCAAGCCCUUGCAUGCCCAGGCAGCUGCCCCCAAACCCAAGAGUAAGGGCAGCUGGGCUUUUGGGGAAAUGCCCCACAAGCCCUCCAGUCCCGCCCAGUCAUGGUUCAACUUGCCACUAAGGGCCUCUAAGCCUGCAGGCCGGGGGUGGUAGGGAGUCCCCAGGGGAAAAGGAAGGGGGCCUUUCUGGAGCAGUGUGAAGUGCACCAGAAGAGUCAGACAGGAUUUGGGUUCAAGACCCCACCAGGCCAUGUGACCUUGCUUUCCUCAUCUGUAAAUCAGAGUAAUAAUAUUAUCUAUCUCCCAGAGCUGUUCAGAGGCUUAAAUGAGACUGUUCAUGAAAAAGGGCUGAGUCCUUUGCUGUGCAAAAAAAUAAAUAAAUAAAAAUCCCUUCUCUGAAAUCUCCAAGCCAGGAGAGGUUUUCCUCUCAUCAUUUUAGGGUUAACUUGCUUAUCCAGGAGUUGGUCUCUCAGCUAAGAAGUUGCAGAGUUGGGAUUUGAACGCACAAUUUUCUAGUGCCAAUGUCCCAGCUCUAACCACUAGGAAACACUGCCUCCUUGGGCCGAGGGAGUUAAGUCCCACUGCUAGGUGUGCAAGGAACCCUGGUGGCACAAACAGUUAAGCAUUUGGCUGCUAACUGAAAGGUUCGUGGUUCUAUCCACUCAGUGGCUCUGUAGCAGAGAGACCUGGCCAUCUACUUCCGUAAAGAUUACUGCUGGAAAGACCCCAUGGGGCAGUUCUACCCUGUCACACGGGGUCACCGUGAGUCAUCAUCGACUCGAUGGCACCUAACAACAACAGCAAAGGGUGCGUGUUUAGGGCAGGGAGGCCAGCAGAGCUUCUUAGUCCAGGGGGCUACUUACCUUUCUGGAACAGCUUCUGGACUUUAUAAUCUCUCUGCUUUCCGAGCACCUGAGGAGAAUCUAGGGACAGAGCAGGGGAUCUGGGAAUAGGCCAUGGUCACUGGCCCGGGCAGCAGUAAUCUCCAAAAGGCUUGAAGUCUUUUCCAAACAAAGCGGUGCUGCUUUGCCUCAUUGCUUGUGUAGGAUUUCCACUGAGUCGGCAAACAGGAGAGCUGAGUUCACAUCUCAGAGCUGCCCCUUUUUAGCCAGCUGACCUUGCACCAGUCACUUCUCCCCUCUGAGCCUCAGUUUCCUCAACCGUAUAAUGGGGUUAAGGAUAGCUGCAGCCUGUGAGAAUUUUAGCAUGUUAUAUAGGCAAAGUGCCUGGUGAAUGCCCGCAAUUGUUAGAGCAUCCUGGCUGACUAAGGUUGGAAGGGGUUGGCUUGUGAGGGAAGGUGGUGUGCAAGAGGAAGCUGGGGUCCUCCUAGGGUCCCUGAGAGAGAGCCCCUUGUGGCAGAGCUGGGAACCUCAGCUCCUGCAUUUUCCCAGAUCAGCAAGGGUCAGAGCAAGGCCAGGGGCCCCGGAGGCGCACCGAGAAGAGCAGGGAGCAGAGGUUCUCACCUUGGUUCGGCCAGGUGGAAGGGAAAGAAGGGAGGAAGUCAGGGCUUCUGGGAGACCAGAGGGGCAGCCAGUGCAUGACUCCAGACACACAAUCCCCCGAGGCCCCAUUCCAUGACCUUAUUUGCCUCAUUGCAAACUUUCAAAGUAGCUGAUGUUUCCCCUUAUUUUCCAAAUGGGGAAACCAAGGCUCAAGGAGGCAAGUUCACUUGCCAUGGCGUCUGUCUGGCUCUGCGGUCUGGACUCCAGUAGUCACUUAGCUAAUCUGCCUAACAAGGUUUCGAGUCAAGCAGUGUGAUCCUCUUUCUACAGACAAGGAAACUGAGGCUCAGAGGGAUUCCGGGCCCUGUCACUCUCUCCCAAGAGCCCUGAGCCCUAGGCAGACAGCUAUGCCCUCUGGCAUCACCAGGCGACUCAGAGUUCCGGACCCCAGGCUGAGGAGGAUUUGCUCUCAGUGACAGCAGAGACUCCUGGGGUAAGGGAGUGAGCUCACCGUUUCAGGAAGGCUUCAAGUAGAGGUGUUCUGAGUCUCCACCAAGGUACCCAACAGCCAAGGAACAGGAGGAUCCCCUGGACAUUUGGGAGCAUGGCUCAGCUCAUAGUGACCCCAAAAUGAACUAAUUUUUUUCUGCAAUUCUUUAUAUUUUAUCUUAAAAAUUCACACAAAUAUGCAACUUUCUCCUUAGGAAAUGUUUUUGUUUUCGUAGGAAAAAAAAAAAAGUUUCCCCCGCAGUCUUCUACCUGAGUGGAUGCUCCAGGAAGACAUGGCAUGGCUAACUCCUGUGGCCGGAUCUCCUGCCUGUACCUGGAACCCCAGGCUCCUCGGGCCCCCAGCUCAGGCCCUUCUCCUGGCUUGAGAGAACUGUAGGGACUGGGUUAAAGAAAGACCUGCCUGUUCUCACAGUCUAGGGCUGUCCCCAUCUCUGCUCCAUGCUCGCUCCUCUGGCCCAGCCCUAUCAUCUUCUCUCUGCAGACAUUGGUCCAUUCCAGCCCCUGUCCCACCGGGGAUUCUCCAGAUGCCUCCCCAUCCCCCCCCCUUCAUCCCCUGAGGGUCCUUGGUCCAGGAGAUGCUCCCUGUCUUCACUCCUCCCCAUUAGAUAGCUGACCAUCCACCUCCACAGACCAGCACACAACUCAGGGAUAUUUGUGCCAUGAGGAGGAAACUGAGGCCCAGAGACGGGUGUGCCUAGCCCCAGGUGCCUGGUGAGGAGGGUUGGGAUGCCCAGGGGGUGUCUCUGGGCAGGUGGGGGUGCCUCGGCCUGAGAAGAGGGCACCGGGUCUGGGCACUGGCCAGGGAGGCAGGAGAGAGGGGGAAGGCUGCGGGGCACUCAGGGGCUGCUGCCUGGCAGGUCCCCGUGCCCAGGGUAGGGAAGUUUCUUAUUUCUCCUGCUCCGACUUCCCCCUUUGAUUUAUAAUAGCCAUGAAAUGCUCUGCUCUCUUCUCUUUUCCUUGCUGUCCCCGGGGCCGGAGGAGCAGAGGCCUCCUCGGGCACCAGGCCUUGGCCUUGAUGGACCCUCAUCUCCCUCCAAGGGCUGAGCCUGGGGGAGCCAGAAAUGGGAGCCAAGAUCCAUCUGACACUGGCGAUGAUAUCCCACGUUCCACGUCCUCUUCUGAAUCCGGCUUGAAUUCCUGGCAGCUCCCCGUCGAUGUUCUGCAGCAAUUGUUUUUGAAUUAUUUUCAGCAAAAUUUGAUAUCGUUUGAUAAUUUUUGAAUUCUACUGAAUCAUCUUUCUUUGGAAUGGGCACAAAUAUGGAUCUUUUCUAGUCAGUUGACAGGUAGCUGUCUUCUGAGUAUCUUGGCAUAGACGAGUGAGCGCUUCCAGUGCUGCAUCUGUUUGUUGAAAUGCCUCAACUGGUGUUCCGUCAAUUCCUGGAGCCUUGUUUUUUGCCAAGGCCUUCCGCGCAGUUUGGACUUGGACUUCUUCCUUCAGUACCAUCAGUUUUUGUUCACGUCACCUUCUGAAACGGCUGAACAUCAAUUCUUUUUGGUACAGUAACUGCGUAUUCCUUCCAUCUUCUUUUGGUUCUUCCUGUGUCGUUAAAUUUUGUACCCAUAGAAUCCUUCAAUAUUGCAACCCAAGGCUUGAGUUUUUUCCUCAGUUCUUUCAGCUUGAGAAAUGCUGAGCAUGUUCUUCCCUUUUGGUUUUCUAACUGCAGCUCUUUGCACAUGUCAUGAUAAUGCUUUACUUUGUCUUCUCAAUCUGCCCUUUGAAAUCUUCUGUCAGCUCUUUUAUUUCAUCAUUUCUUCCUUUCACUUUAGCUACUCUACAUUCAAGAGCAAAUUUCAGAGUCUUUUCUGACCUCCAUUAUGGUCUUUUUUUCUUUCUUUCUUUCUUUCUUUUCUCUCUUUUUAAUGACCUUUUGCUUUUUUUAUGUUUGAUGUCCUUGAUGUCAUUCCACAACUUAUCUGGUCUUUGGUUAUUAGUCAAUGUGUCAAAUAUAUUCUUGAGAUAGUCUCUAAAUUCAGGUGGGAUAUACUGAAGGUUGUACUUUGGCUCUCAUGAACUUGUUUUAAUUUUCUUCAGCUUCAACUUGAACUUGCAAGUGAGCAAUUGACGGUCUGUUCCACAGUCAGCUCCUGGCCUUGUUCUGACUGAGAAUAUUGAGCUUCUCUAUCGUCUCUUCCCACAGAUGUAGUUGAUUUGAUUCCUGUGUAUUCCAUCCAGUGAGACCCAUGUGUACAGUUGCCAUUUAUAUUGUUGAAGAAAGGUAUUUCCAAUGAAAUUAUUGUUGGUCUUGCAAAAUUCUAUCUUGCGAUCUCCUGUGUUAUUUCUAUCACCAAGGCCAUAUUUUCCAACUAUUGAUUCUUCUCUUUUUCCAACUUUUGCACUCCAAUCACAAUUAUCAAUACAUCUUAAUUGCAUGUUUGAUCAAUUUUAGACUGCAGAAGUUGGUAAAAAUCUUCAAAUUCUUCAUCUUUGGCAUUAGUGGUUGGUGAGUAAAUACAUAUUAUAUACGUUAGUAUAUGUACAAAAUGUCUGCCUUUUAGAAGCAUGUGAGGAAGGAAUCAGUUUAUGCAGGUAUCAAUGGGGGCUCAAGAUAUGGCAGUCCAUUUCCUCUUGCCUUUGUCAUCACCCACAAGCACUUCAUAAGCACUGCUGUGGGUAGAAGCUCAGCUUGGGUCUCAGGCAGACCUAGGAUUAAGUCUUACCUGGACCUCGGGUUGGCUGAGCAACCCUGUGCAAGUCUCGCCCUGCCUCUGAGCCUCAGUUUCCUCAUCUGUACUAUGGGGAUGAUAAUGGCACCAACUUUACAUAUGAUAAGAGGGAAUAAACCCUGCAAGUCAAAGCCUAAAGUCAAAGCCAAGGCCCCUCUCCUCUCUGACCUCACCCCUCCCAUGGGCUCUGCUCACACUGGCCUCCAUGUUCCUGGAGCAGACUCCUGCCUGCAGCUGUCACACUGGCCUUUCCCUCUGCCUGGAAGGCUCCUUCCAGAUACAUACUUGGCUCUAUCUCUCACUUGCUUCCAGGGUUUGUCAAAUGUCACCUUCUGAUGAGGCAUCCCGGUCCACCCUCUUUAAUACUAUGACGUUCCCCCACCCUGCUCAGCCCCUAUUUCUAACCCACCUUAUCUACUUCCUAUAGCACUUGCUACCUUCUACCAUGCAGGGAAAUGUGCUCACCUAUUGUGUUUAUCACCUGCCUUCCCCUGCUAGGGUGGAAGCCUCAUGAGGGCAGAGUUAUCUGCCUGUUUGGUUGUCUGGCACACAAAGGCCCUCAGUAAAUAUCUGUUAGAUGUCCUAAUGCACUAAAGAGUCAGCCCAGUGCUGUGACCAGAGCUUGGGGAGCUUCAAGGGGCCCAUGCGACCCAAUCUGGGGCCCAAGGAGCCUCUCCCAGUGUCUCAACAGUGAGAGGAAGUUGCAAGACGGCCAUUUCUGUACACGCUGUUCAUGGCUCAGCUCUUUUUGGCAAACUUUCCCAGCUCUUCGUGUGAGGCUUUCGUUUUCCCAUAUGCCCUGUCACCCCCGGGGGGACCUGUUGCUAGAAAAGAGGAGACCAUUGUUUCCUUCUUUUGGAGUUCCUUUGGGCUGAGGUGUAGAGGACUUCAGGGCCAGAGGUUGUGGCCCCUUGGUGGACUCAGCUUGGACGACAUAGCACCCACGUUUCCUGUUGCCUUCCUACCCUGCAAAUUGCAUUAACACAACUCUGCCCCCACAGUGGCCCAGCCCAGUGAGGGCAAAGGGCACCACAUCACCCGGGCCGGCCCAGCCUUCCUGUCACUCUGGAGGCCCCAGCCCUCCCAGGUCACCCUCUUGGCCAUCCACCCAUCCAUAAAGAACCCAGCUACCAUCUGGCUCUGCCCACCCUCAGGUCUGACCUAAAGCCCUUAUUGGGAGGUUAAGGUGGUACAACAUUUACUAACGGCGAUGUGGCAAUUUAUCUAUCUAUCUACCUAUCACCUAUCAUCAUUACCUAUCAUCAUUUAUCUCAAAAUAAAAAAUGCACUGCCCUUCAACCCAGAAAUUCCAUUUUUGUAAAAUAACAUAUGUUAUUGAUUUCAGUCCCGGUGACUGAAGGAGCCCUGGUUGCACAAUGGUUAAACACUUGGCUGCUAACCAAAAGGUUGGUGGUUCAAACCCUCCACAGGAGAAAAGACCCAGUGAUUUGCUCCCAUAAAGAUUUACAGCCUAGGAAACCCUACGGGGCACUUCUACUCUGUCCUAUAGGGUUGCUAUGAGUUGGAAUCGACUCUUUGGCACACAACAACAACGACAUUGAUUGCAGCACGAUUUGUAACAGCAGAAAACUGGAAACAGCCUGAAUGUCCACCAAUAAAAGACUGGUGAAAUAAAUGAUAACAAUGGAACACCACAGAGCGAUCAAAACAGGCUAUAGCUACGUGCAGCAACGUGGUUGAAAAAAGAAGUAGGACCCAAAAGAAUACAUAUACUCUGAUUCCAUUUAUAUAAAGAUUGAAUUUUGAUAUGAUAAAAACUAAACUACACUGUUGGGUAUGCUUAUCUAAGUGGUAAAAGUAUAAAGAAAAGCAAGAAGUGAUUACUGAAAAAAUUAGGAUGGUGUUACUUGUGGAGAGAGGGAGGAGGUUGUAAGGGGGCAUUUGGGAUGCUUCCUGCAUUCUGGCAAUGUUUUAUUUCUUGACCUGGAUGGUGGUGACAUAGGUGUUGGCUUUAUAAUUAUUCUUUAAACUGUACAGAAAUGUUUUAUGUACUAUGCCAUAGGAAUGGCAUCUCACAGCACGUCCAGACGGUGGAAUACUAUAGACUCAAUGAGAAGGAAAAGGGAGCUUUCUAUAUAAGGAUGGGAAUCCCUGGGUGGGGCAAAUGGUUAACGCACUUAGCUACUAACCGAAAGGUUGGAGGUUCAAGUCCAGCCAGGGGUACCUCAGAAGAAAGACCUGGUGAUCUGAAGAAUCAGCCAUUGAAACCCCUGCGGAGCACAGUUCUACUCUGACAUGCGUGGGGUCACCCUGAGUGGGAAGGUAUUCAACGGAAACUGGAACUGGGUAUGUAAGAUUGUGGAAUGGAUUUGUGGGGAACAAAGCAAAAAAACCCAAGGAGCAUGCUAUCUUUCGUGUAAAAAAAAAAACUUUACACGUCUGC